UUGGAACACUGCCGGAGCUGUGGAGACACCGUAGGCCAGACGGUGGUAUCUGAAGAGGCCCUUGUCUCCUGCUACCACCAUUCCACCUCUGCAGCUCAUCCACAAUGCAGCAGCUCCACUGCUCUUUAACCUUCCUAAGUCCUCUAAACAUGGUGCUCACGUACCGUGCUGUGAAUGGAUGGGGUCCAGCUUACAUCCAGGACCUGGUCCAACCCGACAUCCCGACCCGCACUCUCCGCUUUGCAUGUGAUAAACUGCUUGUUCCUCCUCACUGAGAGAAAAACACUCGACUAGAUCUCCACUCUUUGCUGUCCUG
ensembl:lncRNA